GGCAGUGUUAUGGAAGUGAGUGUGAGAAUUCAGGGGUGGGUUAAUGUGGCAGUGUUAGGGGCUGAGUGUGAUAGGGUACGGGUGGUGAGUGUAGCAAUGGUAGUGGGAUGUGUGUGAGAGUUAAGGCGUGGUGAGACACUAUGUGAACACAGUCUACCCACAUUGACUAGUAAGGCUUUUUUUAUACAGAUAUGUAGCAUUUGUUCC